rnacentral:rRNA from 1 species
CGGAGGAAAAGAAACUAACAAGGAUUCCCCUAGUAACGGCGAGUGAAGCGGGAAAAGCUCAAAUUUGUAAUCUGGCGCCUUCGGCGUCCGAGUUGUAAUCUCGAGAAGUAUUUUCCGCGCUGGACCGCACAUAAGUCUGUUGGAAUACAGCGUCAUAGUGGUGAGAACCCCGUAUAGGGUGCGGAUGCCCAGUGCUUUGUGAUAUACUUUCGAAGAGUCGAGUUGUUUGGGAAUGCAGCUCAAAUGGGGUGGUAAAUUCCAUCUAAAGCUAAAUAUUGGCGAGAGACCGAUAGCGAACAAGUACCGUGAGGGAAAGAUGAAAAGCACUUUGGAAAGAGAGUUAACAGUACGUGAAAUUGUUGGAAGGGAAACGCUUGAAGUCAGACUUGCAUUUUGGAGUUCAGCCGCAAGGUGUAUUCUUCAAUUCGCAGGCCAGCAUCAGUUUCUGGGGGUGGAAAAGCGCGGCUGGAAGGUGGCAGUCUCGGCUGUGUUAUAGCUGGCCGCUGGAUUCACUUUUGGGGACUGAGGAACGCAGUACGCUUUUUGCAAGACCCUCGGGUCUUUCGUACUUAGGAUGCUGGUGAAGC